UGGCGGCCUGGCCGCUGGUUCACUUUUGAAAAAUAAAAAAAAAAUAAAAAUAAAAAAUAAAAAUGAAAUUGAAAUUGAAAAUAAAAUUAAAAAUGAAAUUGAUAUUGAAAUUGAAAUUGAAUUUGAAGUUUAAUAAUUAAGUAACUUAUUUUCAGUAACAAAUUCAGUAAACCCCCAAAAAUUCAUAACCCCCCAAUAACUUAUUUUAAGCCCCAAUUAUAAACCCCCAAUUUCAUAAACCCUAAAUUAGAAGGAAAAAACUACAAUAACUACAAUAAAUUGGAAAGUAACCCCCAAAUAAAAAACCACCAAAUCAUAAACCCCAAAAUCAUAAACCCCCAAAUCAUAAACCCCCAAAUUAAAAACAACAAAAAAAGAAGAGAAGAAGAUGAACAUAAUGUAAACCAUACCUUGAAGAUAAUUUCGACAAUGACCGGAGAGAAGUGGCCGGCCGGAUUAGAAGAAGGCUUCAACCUAAAAUANNNNNNNNNNNNNNNNNNNNNNNNNNNNNNNNNNNNNNNNNNNNNNNNNNNNNNNNNNNNNNNNNNNNNNNNNNNNNNNNNNNNNNNNNNNNNNNNNNNNACAGUUACAAACAUCAUUUUAAAUCCCAAUCAACCAAAAAUCCUAUUCAAAGCAAAAAUAAAUUCCAAUUCAAAGCAAAAAAACUUCAUUUUGUUGCUCUUACCUAUUCAAAGCAAAUCCUACAUUUUGUCCCACAUCGAUUUGCAUGAAUACGAAAAUUAAAAUCAACUUCAUUUUCAUUUUUACAUCAAAACAAUGUACCACACUUGAUUUUACAUGCUGUCAUAACAUUAAUAUUAUAAUGGAAUUGAUUUGCUAAACAAAAAAACUACAUCCUGAUUGCAACCAUUACAUACAUAAAAACAUGCACAAAUAUCACGUCAAUUCCAUCAAAACAUGCACAAUUUUAAAAGGAAUUUCAAUACCUAAUUCUGUCUACAAAUUAAAAAGGAAUUUCAAUCACAUAUCGAAAUAUAUCCCACCUCUGUUCCACAUACUAAUUUCAAGCACAUAUCAAAACAUCAUUUUAAAUCCUAAUCAACCAUAAAUCCUAAUCAAAGAAAAACUAAAAUCUACAUUCAGUGAUUAAAAUCCUAAUGAAAUAAAACCAAAAAUCCUAAUCAAACUAAAACCAAAAAUCUCUCUUUCAUCAUCAUCAAAAAAAAAUACUCUGUCUACAUUCAUCAUCAUCAAAACUACAUUCAUUUAAGUCGGAUUCUAGCCAUUACAUAGAUUGCAAAAAAAAAAAAAUCUUUCCACAUAGAGUACAACACCCUAAAAUCACAACUAAAUAUAUUAAAAUCACAAUUAAAAUCAAAACAGUACAUAUAUUACAAAUAAAGUCAAUUAACUAAAUCAAAUAUAAUCAAAACAGUACAUAAGUCAAUUAAUUAACUAACUAUAAUUAACUAAAAUAAACAAAACUAAAUCAAAGCACCAAUAUCAAAACCCCUAAAUAAAACCCCCAAUAUCAAAACCCCUAAAAAGAGUGUAAAUCACAAUUACUAACCCCACAUCACAAAUUCACAAUGCAUGAUUUUUUUUUUAAAAUCAAAAGACAAAUCAUUGGAAAGUAUGAUUUAAAAUCAUAAACCCCCAAAUCACAAAUCAAAAGACAAAAUUAAUAUAUUUAUAAAAACAGUAAAACCCUAAUCUAAAUUAACUAAAAUCAGUAAAUGAUAAAAAUAAACUAAAAACAGUAAAUAAACCCCCCUAAAUAACAUCAGUAAAUAAACUAAAUAAAAACCAACAAAUAAUAAACCUAACAUCAAUAAAUCAAACCUAAAUCAAACCCUAAAAUCUAACUACAAUAAAUCAACCUAACAUCUAACCAUAAAAUCAAACCCCCAAAUACAUAUAUAAGCCCCCAAAUAAUAAAUACAUAAACCCUAAAUGUCAUAAACCCACAAAUACAUGAACCCCAAUGUCAUACAACCAUAACCCCCUAAUUUAAUCAAAUAACAUACAUCAAAUGAAGAACAAAAUAGAAAAUGUAGAAGAAUAGAAAAAGAUAAUAUAAAAUAUAAUAAGAUAAGGAGAAGAUGAAGAAGUAGAACAUGAAGAUGAAGAUCAAGAAGGGGAGAUUAUUACCUUGGGGAGGAAUGGCCGGAGUGCUCAAUCAAACGCCCUUGGGGAGAACUUUCGAAACCUUGGGAGAAGUUUGGGAGAGUUUGGAGAAGUGAGGAAACCGUUGGGAGAAAUGAGAAAAGUCUGGAAAUUUUUUUCUUAUAUAAAAAUUUCCCGGCGGCCUGGCCGCCGGGAAAUACUUAAGUUUCGUUUGACUAAGUUUGACUGUACGGGGGACCACGGCGGCGCAAGUUGUAAUUUUAGGGUUUCCAAAAAAUCCUGGCGGCCAGGCCGCCGGCUACUGAAAAAAACAAGCCGGGAAAAGUAUCCAGCGGCCAGGCCGCCGGGAAUUUUUCUCCCAACCGUUGAGGGUUUUAGUAUACCGGCGGC
rnacentral:lncRNA from 1 species